rnacentral:piRNA from 7 species
GGGUUUCGUACGUAGCAGAGCAGC